GUGCUUGCUUUGGCAGCACAUAUACUAAAAUUGGAGCGAUAAAGAGAUUAGUAUGGCCCUGAGCAAGGAUGGCAGGAAAAUUCAUGAAUUGUUCCAUAUUUUU